UACGUAGGGGGCAAGCGUUGUCCGGAAUCAUUGGGCGUAAAGCGCGUGUAGGCGGCCCGGUAAGUCCGUUGUGAAAGUCAAAGGCUCAACCUUUGAAAGCCGAUGGAUACUGCAGGGCUAGAGUCCGGAAGAGGCGAGUGGAAUUCCUGGUGGUAGCGGUGGAAUGCGCAGAUAUCAGGAGGAACACCAAUAGCGAAGGCAGCUCGCUGGGACGGUACUGACGCUAAGGCGCGAAAGCGUGGGGAGCGAACAGG
rnacentral:rRNA from 1 species